rnacentral:rRNA from 1 species
UACGAAGGGGGCUAGCGUUGCUCGGAAUCACUGGGCGUAAAGGGCGCGUAGGCGGCCAUUCAAGUCAGAGGUGAAAGCCCAAGGCUCAACCUUGGAAUUGCCUUUGAUACUGUUUGGCUUGAGACCGGAAGAGGUAAGUGGAACUGCGAGUGUAGAGGUGAAAUUCGUAGAUAUUCGCAAGAACACCAGUGGCGAAGGCGGCUUACUGGUCCGGUUCUGACGCUAAGGCGCGAAAGCGUGGGGAGCAAACAGG